GGCGGACGGGUGAGUAACACGUGGGCAACCUGCCUGUAAGACCGGAAUAACCCCGGGAAACCGGGGCUAAUGCCGGGUAAUACUUUUCUUCGCAUGAAGGAAAGUUGAAAGAUGGCUUCUCGCUAUCACUUACAGAUGGGCCCGCGGCGCAUUAGCUAGUUGGUGAGGUAACGGCUCACCAAGGCGACGAUGCGUAGCCGACCUGAGAGGGUGAUCGGCCACACUGGGACUGAGACACGGCCCAGACUCCUACGGGAGGCAGCAGUAGGGAAUCUUCCGCAAUGGACGAAAGUCUGACGGAGCAACGCCGCGUGAACGAUGAAGGUCUUCGGAUCGUAAAGUUCUGUUGUUAGGGAAGAACAAGUACCGUGCGAAUAGAGCGGUACCUUGACGGUACCUAACGAGGAAGCCCCGGCUAACUACGUGCCAGCAGCCGCGGUAAUACGUAGGGGGCAAGCGUUGUCCGGAAUUAUUGGGCGUAAAGCGCGCGCAGGCGGUUCCUUAAGUCUGAUGUGAAAGCCCACGGCUCAACCGUGGAGGGUCAUUGGAAACUGGGGAACUUGAGGACAGAAGAGGAGAGUGGAAUUCCACGUGUAGCGGUGAAAUGCGUAGAUAUGUGGAGGAACACCAGUGGCGAAGGCGACUCUCUGGUCUGUCUCUGACGCUGAGGUGCGAAAGCGUGGGUAGCAAACAGGAUUAGAUACCCUGGUAGUCCACGCCGUAAACGAUGA
rnacentral:rRNA from 1 species